GGACUACAGGGGUAUCUAAUCCCAUUCGCUACCCACGCUUUCGUGUUUCAGUGUCAGGAAUGCGCCAGUGAAUUGCCUUCGCAUUUGGUGUUCCCCAUGAUAUCAACGGAUUUCACCCCUACACCAUGAGUUCCAUUCACCUCUCACAUCCUCUAGUUUUGCCGUUUCUUCUGCGGACCCCCGGUUGAGCCGAAGAAUUUGACAGAAGACUAACAAAACAACCUACACACCCUUUACGCCCAAUGAUUCCGGAUAACGCUUGGGGCACUCGUAUUACCGCGGCUGCUGGCAC
rnacentral:rRNA from 1 species